rnacentral:rRNA from 1 species
UACGAAGGGGGCUAGCGUUGUUCGGAAUUACUGGGCGUAAAGCGCACGUAGGCGGCGCGGCAAGUUAGAUGUGAAAUGCCUGGGCUUAACCUAGGAACUGCAUUUAAGACUGCCGUGCUAGAGACCGGGAGAGGGUGGCGGAAUUCCCAGUGUAGAGGUGAAAUUCGUAGAUAUUGGGAAGAACACCGGUUGCGAAGGCGGCCACCUGGACCGGCACUGACGCUGAGGUGCGAAAGCGUGGGGAGCAAACAGG